rnacentral:rRNA from 1 species
UGCAGUCGAACGAGAUUUUAUCUUUCGGGAUAAAUGACAGUGGCGCACGGGUGCGUAACGCUUUAUGCAACCUACCCUUAACUGGGGGAUAGCCCGGAGAAAUUCGGAUUAAUACCCCAUAGUAUCACCAGAUGGCAUCUGAAGGUGAUUAAAGAUUUAUUGGUUAAGGAUGGGCAUGCGUGACAUUAGCUAGUUGGUGAGGUAACGGCUCACCAAGGCAACGAUGUCUAGGGGUUCUGAGAGGAUGAUCCCCCACACUGGUACUGAGAUACGGACCAGACUCCUACGGGGGGCAGCAGUAGGGAAUAUUGGUCAAUGGGCGAGAGCCUGAACCAGCCAUGCCGCGUGUAGGAAGACGGCCUUCUGGGUUGUAAACUACUUUUAUACAGGAACAAAAAGGCCAUGCGUGGCAAACUGAGUGUACUGUACGAAUAAGCACCGGCUAACUCCGUGCCAGCAGCCGCGGUAAUACGGAGGGUGCAAGCGUUGUCCGGAUUUAUUGGGUUUAAAGGGUGCGUAGGUGGUCAAUUAAGUCAGUGGUGAAAGCUCAUAGCUCUACUAUGGAACUGCUAUUGAUACUGGUUGACUUGAGUACAGAUGAGGUAGGCGGAAUUUAUGGUGUAGCGGUGAAAUGCAUAUAUACCAUAAAGAACACUGAUAGCGAAGGCAGCUUACUAAACUGUUACUGACACUGAGGCACGAAAGCGUGUGGAGCGAACAGGAUUAGAUACCCUGGUA